rnacentral:tRNA from 1 species
GCUCCCAUAGUUCAACGGAUAGAACAAGAGACUUCUAAUCUCUAGAUCUAGGUUCGAUUCCUGGUGGGAGCA